rnacentral:rRNA from 1 species
AAUCAACGCUGGCGGCGUGCCUCAGACAUGCAAGUCGAACGAUUAAGACUCCCUUCGGGGAGUGUAUAAAGUGGCGCACGGGUGAGUAACACGUAAGUAAUCUACCUUCGAGUGGGGAAUAACGUCCGGAAACGGACGCUAAUACCUCAUAAUGCAGCGGCAUCUAAUGAUGACAGUUGUUAAAGAUUUAUCGCUUGAAGAGGAGCUUGCGGCAGAUUAGCUAGUUGGUAAGGUAAUGGCUUACCAAGGCUACGAUCUGUAACCGGUCUAAGAGGACGGUCGGUCACACUGACACUGAAUAACGGGUCAGACUCCUACGGGAGGCAGCAGUCGGGAAUUUUGGGCAAUGGGCGAAAGCCUGACCCAGCAACGCCGCGUGAAGGAUGAAGUAUCUCGGUAUGUAAACUUCGAAAGAAUGGGAAGAAUAAAUGACGGUACCAUUUAUAAGCUCCGGCUAACUACGUGCCAGCCGCCGCUGUAA